GUUGAAACACCAGAUCCCAUACAGUCACCAAAGUUAAGCAAUAUUGAGCCUGGUCAGUACAUAUAUGGGUGACCAGUUGGAAAUCUUGAGUGCUGUAAG